GGAUGCGAUCAUACCAGCACUAACGCACCGGAUCCCAUCAGAACUCCAAAGUUAAGCAUGCUUGGGCGAGAGUAGUACUAGGAUGGGUGACCCCCCGGGAAGUCCUCGUGUUGCAUCCC
rnacentral:rRNA from 1 species